ACCUGACUCCAUCCCGAACUCAGAAGUGAAACACAAUCGCGCCGAUGGUAGUGUGGGGUCUCCCCAUGUGAGAGUAGGUCAUCGCCAAGC
rnacentral:rRNA from 1 species